rnacentral:RNase_P_RNA from 1 species
CGAGCCGACCGGGCGGCCGCGGCAGGGCAGGGCCGGUACGACGUACCGCCUCAUCUGCUGAGGAAGGUCCGGACUCCGCAGGCAAGGUGGUGGCUAACGGCCACCCGAGGUGACUCGCGGGAAAGUGCCACAGAGACAGACCGCCAGCGGCUCCAGUGCAAGCUGGAGUGCGGGUAAGGGUGAAACGGUGGUGUAAGAGACCACCAGCACCUCGGGCGACCGAGGUGGCUGGGUAAACCCCACCUGGAGCAAGACCAAGAAGGACACGCUGGCCUCGGUCGGCGUGUCCGCGCAGACGCCGAGUGUCGCCCAGCGACGCUCGAGAGGGCAGCCUGCCCGAGUCUGCGGGUAGGUCGCAUGAGCGCUUCGGCAACGACGCGCCUAGAUGGAUGGCUGCCGGGAGCUGGUCCGAAGGGACCCGCUCACCACAGAAUCCGGCCUAUGUGUCGGCUCGCCCG